AAGGAAGUAGACUGCUUUACCAAUAGUUGAGACCCAGUCGAGAGACGUUUCGGCGUAUAUUCCUACUAAUGUGAUUUCCAUUACAGAUGGACAAAUAUUCUUAUCUGCCAAUCUAUUCAAUGCUGGAAUCAGACCUGCUAUUAAUGUGGGGAUUUUCGUCUCCAGAGUAGGAUCGGCGGCUCAAAUUAAAGCUAUGAAACAAGUCGCUGGUAAAUAAAAAUUGGAAUUGGCCCAAUUCGCCGAAUUAGAAGCCUUUGCACAAUUUGCUUCUGAUCUCGAUAAAGCUACUCAGAAUCAAUUGGCACGAGGUCAACGAUUACAUGAGUUGCUUAAACAAUCCCAAUCAGCUCCUCUUACGGUGGCAGAACAGAUAAGUACUAUUUAUACCGGAACGAAUGGUUAUCUUGAUUCAUUAGAAAUUGGACAAGUAAGGAAAUUUCUCGUUGAGUUACGUACUUACUUAAAAACGAAUAAACCUCAGUUCCAAGAAAUCAUAUCUUCUACCAAGACAUUCACUGAGGAAGUGGAAACGCUUUUGAAAGACGCUAUUCAGGACCAAAUGAACGUUUUCGACUUCAGGAACAAUUAUAAAUAGAAAAUUCUAACUUAAUGGAAUAUAGAGAAAUCGAUUCUAAAUUGCGUCCAAUAGGAUUUGACCCUAUACCAAAGGUUUAGAAGACCUCUGUCCUAUCCAUUAGACAAUGGACGCUUUUCAUUACGAUUUUUUGACAUUUUGACUUUUUUUCUCUUGUUCGGUUUUUUCUUUUCUCUUGGUUGGAAAAACUAAAGAACAUGUGAAAAAUUGUAUUGUUAGGAAUUGCGUAUUUAUUAAUUCAAUUCAAUGAUGCUAAUGCAUCGUUGAAUUGAAUUAAUAAAUAUUCAAAUAGAUAGAAUAGAUAGAAUUCGAAUAUCGAGCGGGUAGCGGGAAUCGAACCCGCAUCAUUAGCUUGGAAGGCUAGGGGUUAUAGUCGACGUUGAUUCAUUAUUUUUAGCGUCUCUAAUUCAAAACCGAACAUGAAAUUUUGGUUUCAUUCAGCUCCUUUAUGGAAGAUGGAUAAAUAAAAAAAAGAAAUAAAAAAAAUUGAAUAUAAAUAAGAUAAAGAUAAGGCAGGAACGAAAUGAAAUAAGAAUUCGGCCCAUACCAUCUAUGUUAGCUUUUCUGUCUGAAUGCAUUCAAAACAAUUCGCUUUCUAGAUGAUCCUUCUAGAAGAGUGGGAUUAGAAUAGAACAAUUUUUCUAGUUACUUCGUUCUCUAUUUCUAUUUGAGAAAAUCCUUAGGAAAAGCAUUUUGUUUUCGCCGAGCUAAAACAAGAUGUAAAUGUCUCUAGUAAACCAAAGUUAUCGUUUAAUAGCUAUUUUGCUUCAAUCUAUCCCAUCAAAAAAAAUUGAAGAUUUAGUUACGAUUAGAAAUACACUUUUCUAUCUUUAUCCAUGGAUCUUUUUCUCAUACUUAUUCAAUUGGAAGUAUUGAUCCAAUUGAAAAAAAAAUUAUGUUUCGUAAUUUCAUAAUCCAAUUUUUCAAUUUUUAGUUAGAAUAUAAUUAAAAAAUUAUAUCUAAUUUAAUUGGCCCUUGGAUCCAAAUCACGAGAAUGUAUAUUCUUCCUCAAAUCUUUCGUUGAGAGGUAAAGGAUUAAAUCCUUUUAAGAAAUAAAGUUUUUGCUCGAAAUAUGAAUCAAACCGAGGGACCCCUUAACUCUUAGGGGGAUUAAUAGAACGAAUCACACUUUUACCACUAAACUAUACCCGCUACAAUGCGAUUAUUGUAUUUAUUGUAUAUUUAUUGUAUAUAAAUGGACCCUUUGUCGAACAGGGGAAUUGGGCGUAAUCAAGAUAGGAUUACAAGAUAGGAGCCUAAAAAAUCCUAAAAAUUAGGGCCUUGCCACCUUUUGUCAGAAGACUUGUGUUAUAGGAGUUUUGAUAGAUAGGAUUCGACAAAAGGACUUAGUCAUAACAUAAAUAACAUAAAAAUGGAUUGUGCAAAAAUCCAUAGUUUUUUUAUUAUUUAUUCUAGUUAUUCUAGUAAAAUAUAAAAUAAAUGGAAAUAAAAAGAAAUAGGAAGAAAGAAAAAGAAUAGAAAUAAUAUUUUGAUUCUAUAUCAUAGGAACGGAAAUAGGACUUCUUCUGCUUCUGAUUGUUGAUUCAAUGCAAUAACAAGAUUUUUUUGUUACAACAAGCCAGAUCGCAGAAUCAUAGAAAAAAUGAGUUAUUUGAGUUGAAAAUAAAAAAAUGAGCCCGGCCGGGUCAAUACCCGGCCGGUCUGUGGAAAUUGGAAAUAAAAAAGUCCCUUUUGCGCGAAAUCAAAGCGAUAUUCUUUCUUUUUUUGUUAUUUGAGAUAUUUCUUUAGAGCCCUUGUUUUAUUUAAAAAUAUAAAUGAUAUAGAAUAUAAAUGGAAUGGAAUUACUGAUAAAAGUUCUAUAUCUCUAUAGAAAAGUUGGAUAUAUCUAUACAAUCAAUCUAUAUAAUAAUAAAAUUUAGAAUCUAUAUAUCUAUGGAUUAAUAAUACUCUAUAUAAUUAAUAAUACUCUAUAUAGAUAAAUAAUAAUCUAUAUAACAUAAUCUAUAUAACAAAGUAAAAAAGGGCUUUUUUCAAGCCUUUCUUUUUGCGUGCUGUAACAUAGUAAUUAUCUUUUCUCAAUUAGGAGAGAUGGCUGAGUGGACUAAAGCGUCGGAUUGCUAAUCCGUUGUGCGAGUUAUUCGUACCGAGGGUUCGAAUCCCUCUCUUUUCGUUUCGAUUUUUGGUAGUGGAAUAGAUCAAAUCCUAAUACCAUUUCUAAAAAUGAAGCAAGGAACUCUCCCUUUUUUAUUCUUCGCGUCCAGGAUUACGUCCCGGAUUUAGAUAGAAAUCCGAAGAUGAAGAGAGAAACAAAGAAUAUUACUACGGUGUAAACAAAGAGUUUAAGAGUAAGCAUUACACAAUCUCCAAGAGCAUUUUUUGGAAAAAGAAGAGAAUAGAUUCCCCAUUUUUAUACCACAUAUCCUAUUUUGUUUUGAUUUUGACACCAAGAAAUAAAGUGAUUUCUAGAAUUUCUAGAAAUCGAAAAGAAUUUUCAGAAAUUCACUUGUAAUAAGAGUUGAGUUUUUCAUUACAAAAAAAAUUCUUUCAUACCAACAAUUAUAUAUUGUGGUGGACUCUAAUCUAAAUAGGGUUCUUCGGCGAAAAGGGUCAGAAUGAGGAAAUGGGAUGAUCCAGAUUUAUCAGGGCUAUCCAAGAAUUUCAAUCUUUGAACUGAGGGUUCGUUCAUAGUGUAAGACUUAUCUGAUCUUUUCAAUUGUUAGACUUUUUUUUUCUUGAAUCACUCAUGAAUUUUUCUAGGACAGUAUUAAGGAUCUUAUCGAAAACUUACUGCAGCUUGCCAAACAAAGGCUAAGAGAAAAAAGAGAACAGGUAUUACUGGCAUAAAAUCUACGAUUGGAUUCAAAAAAGCAUAGGCCUCGGGCAAUUUGGCGAAUAAAAAACUACUCGAAAAAAGGGCAGAAUUAAAAUAGAUACAGAUCAAAUUAAAGAUAUUAAGCAUAACAAAAUUUUGUUCUUGGAGAUAAUUUUGAUUGAGUUAUUAAUAUGUUUUUUGAUAUAAGGAAAAAAAUGAAGAAAGGAAAAUAAGGCAGACUAAACAAUACUUCUUUGAACUCACCCAAUCAAAAAGCCUUCAAUUCUUACAAGAGAAUAGAAGAAAUCAUACUUUCAUACAAUAUCUUAAUUGAAUUCUAUGUAAUGAUCAAUAAAUUCGAUUUAAUUCUCUAUCCAUACGUGCAAAAAUCGUAGCAAGAAUCUAUUCCAUAGCUAUAGCUAUUUGGAACUGGAAUUGACGAACAAGGAAUACCCAUAUUAGUGUUUAGUAGUUUCAAAUAGAAAUCAAAAUGGGGCGUCGCCAAGUGGUAAGGCAACGGGUUUUGGUCCCGCUAUGCGGAGGUUCGAAUCCUUCCGUCCCAGAGCAUACUCUAUUUAUAUAUCAGAAUAACCAUAUCCUAAUCUAAAUUGCUCUUUUUUUGUUUUUAAUAACAUUCUUUCUAACAGUCAAGUAUUGUAGAAAAUGGGAUUCUUGCUUUUGAUUUUUAAUGAUUUCUUAAGAUUGGCACUCGAACAACUGUGGGAUUGUUGGAUCUAUUCUACAGAGUUAUUUGAUCUAUCGGGUUAUUUGAAGAUGCACGGUAGAUUCAAAAAGAUUAGUUUAUUUGUGUUUUUUAUAAUAUUCGUGAUAUUAUUAGUAUUUUCGUAAUAUUAUUAUUAAUGAUAUUCUUUAUUUAUUUUUUUAAUUAGAAUCGAAAAGUUUAAUUAGAAUAGAAAAGUAUAAUAAAAGUUUAAAAAAAUCAAAAAAUAUUGCAUUCAGACAAUCAUACAAUAUGGGGUAGUUUGAAUUCUUAUUGAGGCUUUUUCUUCCUAAAUUAUUUAUUUAUUUCAUAUAGCAUAUAGAAGGAAAUUGAUUUCAUAUAGAAAGUAUAGAUAGAUUACUAUGUAUCGACUGAACCAAUGACUAUUCAUGAUUCCAUAAUUGAAUCAAUGCUCCAAACUAGAGGAAUGUUAUGGUAAAACUUCGUUUGAAACGAUGUGGUAGAAAGCAACGUGCGACUUGAAGGACAUGAUCAGCUAUGGAUGUCAAAACCCACCACUUUCCGUUAUGUAGAAAUGAAGGUGCUUUUUGCUCGACAUCCUUUGUUCUAUUAUAAUCCGUCUUUUUGUUGGGUUGUAAUGUAAAUAGUACAGGAUGGAGCUCGAAGAGAAACAUCCAUUUUUCAGGGGCAAGGAUCUAGGGUUAGUUAAUGGAAAUCAAUAAGUUGGAACAACUUCGUAAGUCUAUUUGUGAUAUAGAAAUCGAAAGGAUCCGAUUCCAACUAUUUUCAAAUCAAAAAGAAAAGUUGUUGGAAUUGGUAAAACUCUUUCGAUCAAAAGUGUAUCAUGCGGGAAUUAAUCGUUCAUAUGAUUCUUUGAUAGAAAAAAAAAGAGAGAAAAAAGGGCAUGUUGCUGCCAUUUUGGAAAUGAUUAAAUAUCGCUGAAGGAAUGUCUAAACCCAAUGAUUUAAGGCAAAGAUAAAAGAUCCUAGAACAAGGAAAUACCCUUUUCCAUUUUCUCAACAACUAGAUUAAAAUGAAGAAUCGAAAUAGAUUCUAAGCGAGACAAACAAAAAAGGGGUUAGAGACCACUCAAUAAAGGAAUGCCUAAGGAUUAUUUUUUGAGCAUUUUGCGAGUUAUUUGACUUGAGUUAUGAGAGUACGAAUGCUUUUUUCUUCUUUUUUUUUUUGAAAAAAAAAGACGGGGUUAAAUGUCUAAUUGAUUUGCUGGUUUAUGGAUCUUUUUGACAUUCUAAUUCCAUACAUUAUAAUUCCAUACAUAGACAUAACUUUUAAUUUAUCAUUUUUUUCUCGAGCCGUACGACGAGAAAACUUCUUAUACGUUUCUAGGGGGUAUUAUUUAACUACAUCUAUCCUAAUGAGCCGUUUAUCGAAUCGUUGCAAUUGAUGUUCGAUCCCGAAGACGGGUUGUAAUUGUAUAGCGGUAUCUGAAAACAUAUCUUGUGGACGCCCUAAAGCGCUCAUGGUAUCAUUAUGAAUAUAUAAACCAAAACUGUGAAAGCCUAGAAAUAUACAUACCCAGUUGAGAUGUGAUAUGAUUGCAUCACGAUGCCUAAGGACACGAUCUAAUAGAUCGUUGUAUCGAGUAGUUGGAUCAUAGUCUCUUACCAUAAAAAUGGCUGCAUACGCAGCGGCACCCACUAUCAGAAAUCCACCAAUCCACAUGUGAUAUGUGAACAAUGAAAGUUGUGUACCAUAGUCAGUAGCUAGAUAUGGAUAAGGGGGCAUGGAAUACAUAUGGUGAGCUACAACAAUGGUUAAAGAGCCUAACAUAGCUAAGUUAAGAGAUAAUUGAGAAUGCCAUGAUGUUGUUAGGAUUUCAUACAGUCCUUUAUGCCCUUGGCCUGUAAAUGGACCUUUAUGAGCCUCUAAAAUAUCUUUUAGGCUAUGCCCAAUGCCCCAGUUGGUCUUAUACAUGUGACCCGCUAUUAGGAAAAGAAUUGCAAUAGCUAAAUGAUGGUGUGCAAUAUCAGUCAACCAUAGACCCCCAGUCACUGGAUCUAAUCCUCCACGAAAAGUAAGAAAUUCCGCAUAUUUUGACCAAUUCAAGGUAAAAAAUAGGGUUGCUUUCUCGGUAAAACUGGGAUAAAGUUGAGCCAAAAGAUCACGGUUCAAGAUAAAUUCAUGGGGAAGUGGGAUCUCUUUAGGGCCUACUCCAGCAUUUAGAAAUUGGUUUAUCGGUAAAGAUACAUGUACUUGAUGCCCCGCCCAAUAAAGGGACCCAAGCCCCAGAAGCCCUGCUAAAUGGUGAUUCAACAUAGAUUCUACAUCUUGGAACCAAGCCAAUUUUGGGGCCGCUUUGUGAUAAUGGAAUCAACCGGAAAAAAGCAUUAAGGCCGCAAAGACCAAUGCACCGAUUGCGGUACAAUAGAGUUGUAAUUCACUAGUUAUUCCAGAUGCUCGCCAAAUCUGAAAAAAACUAGAGGUUAUUUGUAUUCCUCGGAAACCCCCACCCACAUCGCCAUUCAAGAUUUCUUGGCCCACUAUUGGCCAAACCACCUGGGCGCUAGGUCCAAUGUGAGUAGGAUCGUUGAGCCAUGCUUCAUAAUUGGAAAAAUGAGCACCGUGGAAAUACAUGCCGCUCAGCCAAAGAAAGAUGAUGGAGAGUUGGCCGAAAUGGGCACUAAAUAUUUUGCGAGAGAUCUCCUCCAAAUCACUAGUAUGGCUAUCAAAAUCGUGAGCAUCGGCAUGUAGGUUCCAGAUCCAAGUGGUAGUAUCGGGUCCCUUAGCUAUUGUUCUUGAGAAAUGGCCCGGCCUAGCCCAUUCCUCGAAAGAAGUUUUUACGGGAUCCCUAUCUACCAAAAUUUUUACUUCUGGUUCUGGCGAACGAAUAAUCAUUGAGUCCUCCUUUUUCCGGACAACACAUACAAAGAGACCCGCCAACAGUCAGUAAUUAGUGAACCUAUGAGAGACGCUUAUAAUUAGUUUCUUUCUCUUCUAUCUCUCAUCUAUCUAUCUAUUUUUUAUCUAUCUAUUUUUUCUUUAGUUAUUCACUAGAGCAAUUAUGAUCUGGAAGUCGAUCCGGGGCAAGUGUUCGGAUCUAUUAUGACAUAUCCAUGAGAUUGCACCGGUAGACAAAUUUAAGUAUGUUACGAUAUUAAUUCGAUGUUGUUUGUGUUUUAAUGAAUAAGAUUGCAAGUGUUUACAGCUUGUAUUAGUGUAGAAACUAAGCUCUAUAAUGUGUUACAUACUGAAGUGUAACAUUUGCAUUAGUUCCAUUGAGUAUAUAAGUGUGUUUGCAUUAUGUUUACCGCUUGAUAAUAAGUUUUCAAUAAGUUUGCAUUACUUUAAUGCAUGUUUGUUUUGUUUACCAUAAGGAAACGUAAUGGACAGCAGCUUAAGAUCUCAUUUCUAGCUCGGUUGAAGCUCAAAUAUGUGCAUGCAGCUCAUCUCAGCUCGAAAUAGUUCUGAAAGAUUGUUUCCAGCUCAUUU
rnacentral:lncRNA from 1 species